UACGGGGGGGGUAAGCGUUGUUCGGAAUUACUGGGCGUAAAGGGCUCGUAGGUGGCCAACUAAGUCAGACGUGAAAUCCCUCGGCUUAACCGGGGAACUGCGUCUGAUACUGGAUGGCUUGAGUGUGGGAGAGGGAUGCGGAAUUCCAGGUGUAGCGGUGAAAUGCGUAGAUAUCUGGAGGAACACCGGUGGCGAAGGCGGCAUCCUGGACCAUUACUGACACUGAAUAGCGAAAGCCAGGGGAGCAAACGGG
rnacentral:rRNA from 1 species